rnacentral:rRNA from 1 species
GAUGAACGCUGGCGGCGUGCCUAAUACAUGCAAGUCGAGCGAACAGACGAGGAGCUUGCUCCUCUGACGUUAGCGGCGGACGGGUGAGUAACACGUGGAUAACCUACCUAUAAGACUGGGAUAACUUCGGGAAACCGGAGCUAAUACCGGAUAACAUGUUGAACCGCAUGGUUCAACAGUGAAAGACGGUCUUGCUGUCACUUAUAGAUGGAUCCGCGCCGCAUUAGCUAGUUGGUAAGGUAACGGCUUACCAAGGCAACGAUGCGUAGCCGACCUGAGAGGGUGAUCGGCCACACUGGAACUGAGACACGGUCCAGACUCCUACGGGAGGCAGCAGUAGGGAAUCUUCCGCAAUGGGCGAAAGCCUGACGGAGCAACGCCGCGUGAGUGAAGAAGGUCUUCGGAUCGUAAAACUCUGUUAUUAGGGAAGAACAAAUGUGUAAGUAACUAUUCACGUCUUGACGGUACCUAAUCAGAAAGCCACGGCUAACUACGUG